rnacentral:rRNA from 1 species
CGGGAAUUUUGGGCAAUGGGCGAAAGCCUGACCCAGCAACGCCGCGUGAGGGAUGAAGUAUUUCGGUAUGUAAACCUCGAAAGAAUGGGAAGAAUAAAUGACGGUACCAUUUAUAAGCUCCGGCUAACUACGUGCCAGCAGCCGCGGUAAUACGUAGGGAGCAAGCGUUGUUCGGAUUUACUGGGCGUAAAGGGCGCGUAGGCGGCGCGGUAAGUCACUUGUGAAAUCUCUGAGCUUAACUCAGAACGGCCAAGUGAUACUGCUGUGCUAGAGUGCGGAAGAGGCAACCGGAAUUCUUGGUGUAGCGGUGAAAUGCGUAGAUAUCAAGAGGAGCACCUGAGGCGAAGGCGGGUUGCUGGGCCGACACUGACGCUGAUGCGCGAAAGCCAGGGGAGCAAACG